AGAGGCGCGGGUGAAGCGAGAAAGCGCUCAACGAGAGAGGAAGCGGAGGCGAUCGAACGGGCGGGAAGCGUGACAGGGAUGGAGCUGGAGAACGAAAAAGAGAGUCGAGCGGCCGCCGAACGGGAUGGAGGUAGUAUCCAGUGAAAGAGAUGUGGGAGGAAGGGAGAAAGAGGGCCGAGGAGAAAGAUACGGCGAGGGUGGGAGGGAGAAAGCGGCAAAGGGAGAGAGCUCGCUAGCGAAGAAAGAGAGUGGGAGGAAGAGAGGUUGAUGCGGGCGUAGGUACACAUUUACCCAUACAUAUGUAUAUUUCCUCGAUCCCUGGGUUUCGAUCGCGACCCCCCGCUGCACCUCGACGCGUUCGCAUUCGGCCAGAAUGCACGGUACUCGUGCGUGUACACGUAUACUCGACUCCAAUUUUCCCGGCUAUUUGGGAAAUUUCUAGAUCACAGCCCGUGCGUUCGCUCGUUACUCGUUCGCGUUUGUUUUAUUCGGUAUGUCGCGUUUUCUCUCCCCAUUUUUCUUUCUUUUUUUUUUUUUUCAUUAUUACACGAGCAACGCACGAUCUUUUAAUGGAUGCAAUAACGAGGAUACGUUGUUAGCCGGUGCGGACUGUCGAGUCUGUAGCUCUAUAACGCCAAGUAAAUUGGUUUCUAUUGGUCUCUAGCAUCAAAGAACUUGAGUGCCUUGCUUGCUGCGGACAUACGCCGGAGUCAGCUCGCAUUGUGUCGAAACAAAAAUCAAUCUAGUUCUCGCAUAAGGAGAAGUAUUUUUCUGUUUACUUUUUCUUUUUUCCUUUCUCUUCUUUCUCUUUUCUUGCUUCCGUACGAAAGAGGUUCGAUGACGCGUAACUUCUUCGUUACGUUGCGGAGAGGAAGGGAGGGAGGGAGAGAGAGAGGGAGAGAGAGAGAGCUUUCCAAGUAGUCUUUGUAAGUAAUGGAAAAUUUUAGGACCUUUCGUUUCAUCGUGUUUCGUUCGAUCAACCUUGCUUGCGGUUUUCGAAUUUCC
rnacentral:misc_RNA from 1 species